rnacentral:rRNA from 1 species
AUUGAACGCUGGCGGCAGGCCUAACACAUGCAAGUCGAACGAGUGGCGGACGGGUGAGUAAUGUCUGGGAAACUGCCGGAUGGAGGGGGAUAACUACUGGAACCGGUAGCUAAUCCCGCAUACAAUCAGUUCUGCCCAGUUGGGAUUUGCUGGUUGGUGGGGUAACGGCGCACCAAGGCGACGAUCCCUAGCUGGUCUGAGAGGAUGACCCGCCACACUGGGACUGAGACACGGUCCAGACUCCUACGGGAGGCAGCAGUGGGGAAUAUUGCACAAUGGGCGCAAGCCCGAUGCAGCAAUGCCGCGUGUAUGAAGAAGGCCUUCGGGUUGUAAAGUACUUUCAGCGGGGAGGCGUUACCCGCAGAAGAAGCACCGGCUAACUACGUGCCAGCAGCCGCGGUAAUAC